GAAUAUGUCUAGGAAGUAGACUCGUCUGGAGUUCAGUCAUUGUGUUUCAGCUUUGUAUAUAUGGGAUCAUCCUAAUAUGUGUUUUAAUUGUAAUCAAGGGAUAGAUGAGAUUGCUCAGGUAAAAUGUGCAGAGUGUGAAUAGGCAGAAAGCUGUAUAGCCCUGAAUAACACAAACACAUACAGAAUAAACCAAGGAAGAAUGUGGGAGGAAGAAAAAUCAGGAGGUGGAAGAGGAGGAAGUGUGGAGGAGGAGAAAGAAGAGGAAGGAUAUGAGGAAAACCAGCAGGGUAUAGUGUCAUAGAAAUUUUUUAAAAUGAGAGUAUUUCAAAAAUAAGGAGUGAUUUUUACUUCUAAAUGUUAAAGAGAGAUUAUAUGAGAUGAAGACUGAAAUAUGGCAUUGUAUUUAACAGUAAAGAAGAUUGUUAUGUGUGAUGGGAAGUAAAUAAAUAGAUACGAAACAGUUAUUUUUAAAUUUGGGAUGUGUUUGUGUGUAUGUACAAACCUAUCAUAUAUGAGGAAGUCAUCUUUGCUUCCAUUUAAAAGAGUCCAGACAUCUGUUUGGUUUUCUUCUUGUUGAUAAACAGGAAUAUGCUCUGAAACCUUA
ensembl:lncRNA novel transcript, antisense to SEPP1